UUGGAUGUGACAGAUAGGCAGUGCAUUGCUAGCUGGCUGUUAAGAUUUUUCAUUUUAGCAGUUGCUAGUUGCACUCCUCUCUGUUGCAAUCAGA
rnacentral:pre_miRNA from 13 species